AGCCCCUUAGUAUAGUGGUCAAGUAUACGUGGUUCUGGGCCAUGUGACCCAGGUUCGAAUCCUGGAGGGGCUA
rnacentral:tRNA from 1 species